CACAGCAGGUGGAGCUCUCCUGCGUUACAGCGAGGGAUCACUGUAGACGUUGUUUUGAGAAGCUUUUUAAUAAACGGUGAUCAUCAACCAAUCAGAAAAGACACAAAUAUUUAUUUUCCUUAAAGAACAAACAGAGAAAGAAAGGAAGAAAGAAAAACCCUGCUGGAAAUAAAAAUGAUUCUCAUUUUGUAAAAUUGUGGGUGAUAUUUUCAAAUCAACAAGAUUGACACAUUGCUGCCCUUCAUUGAAUUAUAAUUCUGCAAAGCAUGAACACAACAGAGACGAUUGAGUUUUGAAACCUUCCAGAACACCAGCUCUUGCCAGCAUUCUUGCGUUGGCAGAUGUCCGUCAAGGGUUUUCGGCUGAUGGGUCUUUACGUGAAUUCGGUUCGGAGCUGUUCACAAUUUUUGGUCGGCUGAGAAUUUUGCAGUUUACGUGUAUUUUACGUAGUUCAUAUGUGUGAUCCUUGUGAGAUACAAACCCAAAUUUGAGGCUUUCCACGACCGUUCCAGGUAUGUCUAAUAUACUUUUAAUGCACGUACCACCGAUGAAUAACUAUAUUCAUAUGAAUAUAAUUAAAAUUGGAUUUACUUACUGGUGUAUGUGGACAGAUGCAUAAAUUGUCCAAGAAAACUUUGACAACUCAUCUUAUAUUAGACAUCUUUGUAUACAUUAGAGUCUUGUUUUUGCAUUUUUGCUUUGGUUCUAUUAAAUAAACCUUUUUAAAUUAAUUGUUCACGUUUCCCAGUGGCAGCAUGUUAUGCUUUUGUACUACUAAAGUACUUCUGAACAAAAAUCAAAGUGUCAUUUUGUUGGUUAUCUCAUAUUUGCUUAUUUUAUGCAUCACCUAGCUAUAUAUAUAUAGGUGCUUUAAUCAUGUUUGCAAAAGUAUAUGUGUGUCCGAAUUUGUUUCAAAGGAAGGUGAAGGUGACACCCUUGGGAGAAAAUGUUUCUCUUUGCAUCUUUUUAGCAUUCUCCUGAGAAGCUGUGUUAGCUGUGUCUAAUGAAGCGAAGGACGCUCUGUGUUAGUUUAUCUGUGAAAAAAAGCUUUGCAGGUCCGGAGAUGAUGUGAGAAGACUGUGGAAGUAUGGACAUGUUGCAAUUAAUGUUUCUGAUAGCGCUGCAGCUGUGUUUUUAUCUGUUUCCCUCCUUAGAGCUCAGCGCAUGUGUAACUUAGGGACAACCCAAAACAAUUUAUUAAGAGAGGAGGCAGCAGAAUCUGCACCAGAGUGGAGAGAGAUUGUUUAGUGGGUAGAUCUCUGUCUGCUCUCCUCGUAAAGCAUCUACUGGAGCUGGAGGAGUGUGGAGGGACUGUGGUUGUGGAGGUCUGUCAGCAGUCGGGGUGAGGCUGUGGAGGAAGGACGUGAAUUUGGCCCUGACCAACUGGUACUGAUAGCCAGGGAGAGUCCUCAGGGCAUCCUGGACAUAGCCCAUGGACCUCUGUGAGUGGUCCUGCUUCUCCUGCUACACAGGCAAGGCGGGCAGCGAUGGACUCGAGGCACUCCAGUGACUGCUCUUCCUCUGCAGCGGGCUACUGUGAAGACUGUGUCAGAAUCCAGCGGACGGGGCUCAGGUUGUGGCUGGGUGAGUGGCCUGUGCCGCUGAAGGUGGUACAUGGGCUGGCUCUGUCCCUCGGUGGGUAUCUGUCGUGGUCCACAAUCCAAAGCUCACGGUCUGUUAGCUCCUUCCUUCAUCAGCCUCACACACCAGUCUUUCACUGUUUUCCACCAGAACUCGAUGGUUACACCAAACUGCUCAGCCAUGAGAGCCCACAGAGUUCUCCUGGUCUUAUACAACCUGUGUCACCUCCUUCAGACUCCCUCGUUCUCCCUCAUCCACAAGAUCUUCGUCCUGCUCCUGUGUGAGGCUGUGGUCCUGACGCGCUUUUGGUUCUCCAGCUGCUGCCCAGGUCGGCUUGGCCUUGCCCUAACCUUGGGUUGGUUGUAGGGGAGGGGGCUGGACAUGCUCUGUUUGUUGUAUGCUGGUCACGUUCACUAUCACCAAUAGCUUCAACAUGAGGGCCAGGGUGUGAGGAAGAUGUUGAUUUAGGCUCUGGAGUGGACUGCUGCUUCUCUGGAUCAGGCGCAGGUAGAUUUGACCUUCUUCUUCCUCCCCAGCUUGGAUCUUGUGGGUUGGGAUUUCCUAUUCACCUGCAUUAUCUGGUCAGAGUUGAGGCUCCUUUGGAAUGCAGGGGUCGAAGUGGUUAUGGUAAUCCUCUGCUGCGACACCUUUGAUAUGUACGUUGUGCCAAGCUACCGCCAAGCAUGUGGGUACCAUCGUGGAUACGUGUACACAAGUCAUUUCAGUGUUUCAUCUGUGGGAACGUCACAGUCGAUUUUUGGGCCAGCUUUGUCUGGCAUUUGCAUCUUGCAAGAAUAACGUACGAUUGAGUAUGAUGCACGUAAACAAUGCAUGGACUGCAUAACUCUGAACCACCCAAACACUUUGAACAGCUCAAAACCGAAUUCACAUAAAGACCUGUAAGCCGAAACCCUCGACAGACAUCGUUGCACAUCGAUGAAUGACGAACGCCAGAAACACUCAUGAUUUACAUACCAUGUAUGGAUCACGGAUGGCUGAAAUUCCAUCCGUGGAAAAUGAGCAAAUCAUAUGUAGCUGCUGUGUGACACGGCCUUUAGAGAUAAGGUGAGAAGCUCCGGAGAGAGCUCGGAGUAGAGCCGCUGCUCUUCACAUUCAGAGGAGCCGGUGGAUGUGCCUCAGGUAUCUGGUCCAGAUGCCUCCUGGACAUCUUCUUAGGAAGGUGUUCCGGGAUCUCCCGCUAGGCGGAGGUCCCAGAGAAGACCCAGGACAAGCAGGAUGGGCUAGUCUCUCAGCUGGCCUGGGAACGUCUCAGGGUCCCCCCAAAGGAGCUGGAGGAAGUGGCCGGGCGAGGGAAGUCUGGGCAUCUUUACUCAGACUGCUGCGACCAGGUCCUGGGGUUGCGGUGGCAGGAAAAAGAUGGGUGGAUGGAUGGAUGCAUGGAUUAAUGGGUGGGUGGAUUAUAAUACACAUUUUAUCUUUGUCUAUUAAAUUUGAUUCUUCUCCCUUGCAUGCAUUGAACUGGCUCUUUCACAGGAAGUGCAUGUAUUCAUGCUCCUAUAGGACCAGGACUGGCCUUAACUGCAGCUCAUCACAUUGGUCUAUUGAUCAGGUGUGUAACUUUUUCAUCUCCUUCCAAUUGAUUCAGGUCCCCAAAGGGGGAAACUGUCAGUCCUUAGACGUACACAAAAUGAAAGAAGCAAAAUUAAAACAGCUGCAAGACCUCACAGCAUCACACGAGGACCAGCCGUGAUCUUUAGUACUUUUUUUAAUUAAUGCAGAGCCCAACAUGUUAAACACAUCUUCAUGUCUUGACAGUUAGAUUGAGCCUUAAACCUGUUUUAGGCCCUCUGGGGUUACAAGGAUGUUAGAGCCAAU